rnacentral:rRNA from 1 species
GUGAGUAGUUCAGAGUUGAUCCUGGCUCAGGAUGAACGCUGGCGGCGUGCUUAACACAUGCAAGUCGAACGGAACUCUUUGGAUAGAGGCUUCGGCCAAUUGAAUUAGAGUUUAGUGGCGGACUGGUGAGUAACGCGUGAGGAACCUGCCUUUCAGAGGGGGACAACAGUUGGAAACGACUGCUAAUACCGCGUGAUACAUUCGGAUCGCAUGGUCUGAAUGUCAAAGAUUUAUCGCUGAAAGAUGGCCUCGCGUCUGAUUAGCUAGUUGGUGAGGUAACGGCCCACCAAGGCGACGAUCAGUAGCCGGACUGAGAGGUUGACCGGCCACAUUGGGACUGAGAUACGGCCCAG